rnacentral:lncRNA from 1 species
AUGAAACAUAGUAAAAAUAAAUGAGGUGUUAUUUCGGAAACUUAAAACACUUGAAAGUAAUUUUUUUAAUACAUUAAAAUAUGUUUCCCGAGCUGUCAAUCACAAUUUGAAACGUUCCCGAUCCCCAUCCACAGCCCCACCUCCAAUUGAAGGAGCAGACUUUACAAUUUUGAAGUUUCUUCCGAAGAAGGAGAAGAGCUGUUGUCACCGCCAAAAAGCUUUUGGUCAUUUUAUUAUCCAUUCAAAACAUUUAAUUAAAAUAUGUUUUUAACCUGAUGGGUGACGAAGGAAGAAGAUAAUUUAUUCAACUGCAAGCAAGAGUUUUCAACGAACUUGCUAACUAACACAGCUAGCUACCUACCUAGCUAGCUCCUUCUUUAGCUUGCCACGAACAUGCAGUGUGACUGUGGAUUCUUCUGGUCUGGAGCACAGUUGCCUAUGGAUAGACCCCAUCCAAUGAUAUCAACUUGUCAGUCAGCAAUGAACACUGGAGGUGAGGGAAUCUACAUUAUAAGUAUCAAUUUGAUGCUAAUGAACAUAAACCCCUAAUUCUUCAUCUUGUGUCCAAUGUUUUCACUGACUCUGUCUUUGCGUUAUUCACAGGGUAGCUGUCAACAUGUGACUCUGAAAAUGGACAUUGUAGGUGAAGGAAUCUACAUUGGAAAACUGAUUGAAUGAAUGUUGUUUCCAUGUCAUUUCAACAAAAAAUGUAAUGUGAUGAUGUUGAAUAAAUGUGGAAAACUGAUUGGAUUUGCAAAAAGUCAUCAAUGUUGGGUAAUUUCAAGUUUUAACCUAAAUGUUGAAUUUUUGUUGAUUUCACGGUGAAUUAACAUUAGUUGACAACUCAGCCAAAUGUAAAAUCAAAACUAGAUGUGGAAAUUAUGUCUGUACCCAGUGGGAAUUUGAGAGCAAAAAAAUAAAUAUAUAUAUACUGUCACACCCUCAUCUGCUUCACCUGUCUUUGUGUUUGUCUCCCUGUUUCUAAUAAAUCAUCUGAGGACUGUACAAUCCGCCUCCCGUGUCUGGAUCAGGGUCAUGUCCUGAUUUGUGAUAUAUACACUACCAGGCAAAAGUUUGUACACACCUACUCAUUCA